rnacentral:rRNA from 1 species
GAAUCGCGAUAAGUAAUGUGAAUUGCAGAUUUCCAGUGAAUCAUCGAAUCUUUGAACGCACCUUGCGCUCCUUGGUACUCCGAGGAGCAUGCCUGUUUGAGUGUCAUUCAAUCUUUCUCAACCAUGUGUCUUUCGAGGCCCAUGGCUUGGACUUUUGGGGGCUUGCUGGCAUCAAAAAGAAGUCGGCUCUCCUGAAAUGCAUUAGCGAACGGAUCAGCAAGUCCUUGGACAUGCAAUGGCCCCUUGGCGUGAUAACGAUCGUCAUGGCUGGAGUGUCUGACCUACUGUUCCUUUGCUUCCAACUUGAAUAGGAGGGGGGAAGACAGGACUUUGGAAUUUCAGAGUCUAGCCUAGUUACUAGUCAGCCAUGCAAGGCUGUCGAACACAGGUCAAACCUUUGAUUCUUCAWGAUCUCGUUUCUUUCUCUAGUGACACUUUGGAUUUGGAAUCAAGCCUAGUUACUAGUUGGACACCCCAUGGUAUUUUGAGAGAUCAUGUGUAAUAUAUAUCAUGGUCUGAUGAACACAGACUUUGGAAGCCUAGUUACUAGUCAGUCAUGUGCUAUAUAUUAUGAUCUGUAUAUCAUGGACCAGCGAACACAGGCUGGCUUUUCGAGUUCCAGAGAAUCACGUCCCAUCCCAUCGACUUUGAC